UACGUAGGGGGCUAGCGUUGUCCGGAAUCAUUGGGCGUAAAGCGCGUGUAGGCGGCCCGGUAAGUCCGCUGUGAAAGUCGGGGGCUCAACCCUCGGAUGCCGGUGGAUACUGUCGGGCUGGAGUGCGGCAGAGGAGACUGGAAUUCCUAGUGUAGCAGUGAAAUGCGCAGAUAUCAGGAGGAACACCUAUUGCGAAGGCAGCUCGCUGGGACGUUACUGACGCUGAGACGCGAAAGCGUGGGGAGCAAACAGG
rnacentral:rRNA from 1 species